UUUGAGCGUCGUUUCUCCCUCAAACCGCUGGGUUUGGUGUUGAGCAAUACGACUUGGGUUUGCUUGAAAGACGGUAGUGGUAAGGCGGGAUCGCUUUGACAAUGGCUUAGGUCUAACCAAAAACAUUGCUUGCGGCGGUAACGUCCACCACGUAUAUCUUCAAACUUUGACCUCAAAUCAGGUAGGACUACCCGCUGAACUUAAGCAUAUCAAUAAGCGGAGGAAAAGAAACCAACAGGGAUUGCCUCAGUAGCGGCGAGUGAAGCGGCAAAAGCUCAAAUUUGAAAUCUGGCGUCUUUGGCGUCCGAGUUGUAAUUUGAAGAAGGUAUCUUUGGGCCCGGCUCUUGUCUAUGUUCCUUGGAACAGGACGUCACAGAGGGUGAGAAUCCCGUGCGAUGAGAUGACCCGGGUCUGUGUAAAGUUCCUUCGACGAGUCGAGUUGUUUGGGAAUGCAGCUCUAAGUGGGUGGUAAAUUCCAUCUAAAGCUAAAUAUUGGCGAGAGACCGAUAGCGAACAAGUACAGUGAUGGAAAGAUGAAAAGAACUUUGAAAAGAGAGUGAAAAAGUACGUGAAAUUGUUGAAAGGGAAGGGCUUGAGAUCAGACUUGGUAUUUUGCAUGCUGCUCUCUCGGGGGCGGCCGCUGCGGUUUACCGGGCCAGCAUCGGUUUGGAGCGGCAGGAUAAUGGCGGAGGAAUGUGGCACGGCUUCUGCUGUGUGUUAUAGCCUCUGACGAUACUGCCAGCCUAGACCGAGGACUGCG
rnacentral:rRNA from 1 species